rnacentral:misc_RNA from 1 species
UCAACCUUCUUGGACAUGCAUGGAUGCUUUAUUUAGAAGGAAGAUGCUCGGAGUUAAUAGAUGCAUCAAUAGGGGACUCAUUCAGUCUAUCAGAAGUAGUGCGAUUAAUUCAUAUUGGGCUAUUAUGUGUUCAACAAAGUCCAGAAGACCGGCCUAACAUGUCAGAUGUGGUUCUGAUGAUGGGUGGAGAGGGUACAUUGCCUCAUCCUAAACAACCUGGGUUUUACAUUAAAAGGGAUUUGCUUGAACCUAAAUGUUCCUCCAGCAGCAGCAAAAUAUAUUCAUUCAACGAGGUCACCAUGUCUGCAUUACAGCCUCGGUAGAUGCCACUUCCAUUUUAGUGCCCUGUGUUAUGAGUAUUAGUAUGCUAUAACCAAGUCCAUUUCAUUAUGUAAUUGUUUGUCUCCUCUUAAUUUAUAGAAUCAGUUGCUGAAAAUAAGAUAGGAAUUAAGGAAUGCAGGGAUGACAACGUUAUCCCACAUCGGUUUGGAAAGACUUGACUUUGAAAAGUUAUAUCUAUAUGAGAAAGCCGAAG